rnacentral:rRNA from 1 species
GGCAUAGAUAAAUUUGUACUCUAAUUGAGGUAAAUUUAAGUUUUUAUUUUGUUACUUUUUUAUUAAGGGUAGAAUCAGAAUAUUUUUUUUAAACUAGCUUAAAUUAUAAAAUUUGACGAAUAAAUCAGAUUAGUACCUGAUUAAACAAAAUCUAAUAGAGCAGGAGUAAAGUUAAAUUUAAACUGUAAAAAUAUUGGCAGGUUUUUUAAAUUAUCUUUGGAGGUUGAAUAGUAAUUGAGAGCCCUCAUUCACUACUUUUAUUUUAGUGGCAUGUAUGAUCGUUUAUUUUAUUCUUAAAGAUUGUAAUCAAAGAUUUUUUUUUUCUAAAAAAACAGAUAUAUACCUGGUUUAUAUAAAAGUUUUUUUUGACCUACAGUAAACUAUUUUUUGGAAAAAUAUUUUAGUUAAUAUUUAGAAAUUGUAAAAGACAGUAAGUUAUUUUUAAUAUAUAACUGAAGAUUAUCUAAAAAC